AGCGAACGCUGGCGGCAGGCUUAACACAUGCAAGUCGAGCGGGCAUCUUCGGAUGUCAGCGGCAGACGGGUGCGUAACACGUGGGAACGUACCCUUCGGUUCGGAACAACUCUGGGAAACUGGAGCUAAUACCGGAUACGCCCUUAUGGGGAAAGGUUUACUGCCGAAGGAUCGGCCCGCGUCUGAUUAGCUAGUUGGUGGGGUAACGGCCUACCAAGGCGACGAUCAGUAGCUGGUCUGAGAGGAUGAUCAGCCACACUGGGACUGAGACACGGCCCAGACUCCUACGGGAAGCAGCAGUGGGGAAUAGUGGAAAGUGGGGGCAAGCCUGAGCCAGCCAUGCCGCGUGAGUGAUGAAGGCCGUAGGGUUGUAAAGCUCUUUUGUCCGGGACGAUAAUGACGGUACCGGAAGAAUAAGCCCCGGCUAACUUCGUG
rnacentral:rRNA from 1 species